UUCAGUUUCUCAUUUUGACUGGAUAUGGUAAUUUUAAAUUUUGAGGUAAUCAGUUGAAUUUUCAGUGGCAAGAAGUAAGUAAACCGUUUCAAUACCAAGUAACAUUCUAAAAACACAAACCAAGUUGUCCUUUCCCUUUAUAUCUCUUCAUAUGAUACAUUCUUACCUUUCUACUCAUUCUUUUUAGCCCCUUGUUUUUACUGACUGCCCCUUUCCCUUCCCUCACUAAAUGCAAUAACAACUAUGUGCUGCUGUAGGUACACUGUAGGUGCAUGAUCCCUCGGCUGCUCAGAACCGCUUUAGCAAUGCCCGCCCCCCUCCCCUCCUCUUCCUUUCAUCCAUCCAUCGGACGAUACCAUGCAAUCCAUUCCUUGCUUCAUCCGCACAUCAUCCUGUCGAUGCCUGUAUAUCAAUUGCUUGAGCUUCUCAUUAGAAAGUGACAACCAGGUUAUCCCAAGGGAGCUCCGCCCAAUCUUCCACCCAUCGAGACAUCUGGAAAUGCCAGAGGGUACUACUACGGGGGUCAGAGUCAGCCACGCCCGUCCUCUGGGUUCUAUGAAGACGUGCCCCUUAGGGUGGACCUGAGCUCUCCUCCACCCAGGAGCAGCGGUGGAGGAGCUAUCAACAUGUAUGAGUAUAACCCACAACACAACAAGCCAUACUAGAUGGAGGUGAUACAGCACUAU